GACAGAUCGACAGACGGGCGGACGGACAGAUGGAUGGCAUUUUCCAGCCAUUUUCCAGCCGUUUAGGAUGCCAAGAGGAUCAAUGUCAGAGUCAUAGUAGUUGCGUUGAGUGUAUCUAUAGCAACCAGUUCUAAAAUUCUAAGCUUCUACAGUUCUAAGCUUCUAAAGUUGUACGUUUCUAAAAUUUUAAGUUUACCUGCGAUCUUUGGAGAUUAUUUUCAGACUUGCAAAUUGAGACAAAUGAUUUUCCAGAGGAUUAAAUGAUGGAUAUUUUUCAACCUAAGCACAACUCAGAAGGCCACAUCUGCAGCACUGUGCAUGGUGAGGAGUGCCGUUCUCCAUGCAUCGGAGAUGUUGGCAACCUUGCCAUACAAACAAGUAAAGGAGAUGUGCAUUUACAGAAGUCUGUUAAUGAACGACAAAAGUCCAGCUUUAGAACAGGCUCACGUAAACGGCAGUUCAAGUCUCCUCGUGAAGGUGACAAUGAUGAUGACAACCAUGAAACCAUUGCAAUGAUUCGCCAGCAACUUUAUGGCCCUGGUGGGCCUUAUGAACAUAAAGUGCAAGUUAAGUCGUCUUGUGACGGUGACAAUGGCAGUAACAACUACGAAACCUUUGUGAUGAUUGACAACCAACCGCCCAUACCUGGUGGUCCUGAUGAAAAUCCAAUAGUAAAUCAGACAGACAGUGAGCCAGAUUGUUCUAACCAUGAGGAUGAGGAAGAAACUGGCACCAGUCAGCAGCCUGCAAAAAAAGUCAAGAGGAAAUGCAAGUCUCCUCGUGAAGGUAACAAUGAUGAGGACAACCACGAAUCCCUUGCGAUGAUUCGCCAGCAACUUCAUGGGCCAGGUGGGCCUGAUGGAAAUAUGAGGGUAAAUCAGACAGAAAGCGAGUCACAUUGUUCUAAAACUUCGCUCUGCAAUCUUAAACGAUGCCGGGACGACCAUGAGGAUGAGGAACAAACUGCCUUCAGUCAGCAGCCUGCAAAAAAAGCCAGGCUUGGCUCUUCAGAUGUAAAACAUCUUGAAUUAUCAGGGCCUUAUGUUGAAGAGGUUGGGCAAGGAGAUGCCUUCGGUAAGCAUCCUGCAAAAAAAACAAGGCUUGGCUCUUCAGUAAUCUUUGAUCUUGAAAUAUCGCCGGGCUUUGGUGAUAUGGCUAAUCUUCAGCAUGUUAACAGACAAUCAACGCCCAGCUCUGAAUCAGGCGAACAUAAAGUGCAAGAUAAGUUGUCUUGUGACGGUGACAAUGGCAGUAACGACUACGAAACUUUUGUGAUGACUUACAACCAACCACCCAUCCCUGGUGGUCCUGAUGAAAAUCCAAUAGUAAAUCAGACAGACAGUGAGCCAGAGUGUUCUAACCAUGAGGAUGAGGAAGAAGCUGGCACCAGUCAGCAGCCUGCAAAAAAAGUCUGGUUUGCCUCUUCCGAAUCCAGACUUAUUGCAAUGUUAUUGCAUUUAACAGAUAUUCCUAAUCUGAAGCCUGUAAAUCGACGACAAAAUCCAAUAGUAAAUCAGACAGACAGUGAGCCAGAGUGUUCUAACGAUGAGGAUGAGGAAGAAGCUGGCGUCAGUCAGCAGCCUGCAAAAAAAUCCAAGAGGAAAUUUCUGGGAGGAGCCACUCAGUGUCCCACCCUGCUUCCUGUUUCACUGGAAAUUGUGUCAACACAUCAAAUAAUGCUGGGUGUUUCAAGGCACUUCACAGGGACUUUAAGGUGAAAUAAAGUUUGUACAGAGAUUGGAAUGAGCUGCACUAAUAGGAAGAUGUGAAGGCACGAUUGAGUGAAUGUGUAUGGGGAUUAAUAAAAUAUUAGCAUUCAUCAUUUAAUCACAACUAUUAGCCAUGUAACAGCAUUAUUAUACUACAGUAUAGUUUUAAUAGUUUUAAAGCUGUUCCAGCAGCAUUAGAUCAAAAGAAAAAUGACUUCGGGGCGAGCGAUAUGACAAAAAUAUAUCAUAGAAAUGUCAGAGUAUCAUAUGAUCAAACUGCCAGCAAAACAAAGUGCUGAACUUAAACAAAUGAAAGUAAAUGAAAAAAAUAGUUUGAUGAUGCUAUAAUUAAUUUAUUUGAACUAAUUUACCUUUUUAUACUAAAUAUCUACUAUAUAUAUAUAUAUAUAUAUAUAUAUAUAUUUUUUACAUUGCUUAAAACUUCAGCACAAAAUCAGACACUUCUUCUCUAAAGGUGAUCAAAUUGGUGUUUUUUUUCAAUAUCCACGACAUAUCUCUGAAAUGGACUAACAUUAUUUAUCAUGACACUGAUCAUCAUAUCACCCAGCUCUAAACAUCUUCUUAUUCAGUAAAAGUGAUGACUGCACAGAACAGUGCAACACAUACCACGACAUACGUGCUGAGCGAUAUUCAAUUUGUGUAACGCUUUUAACUACGGACAUUGUCCCAAAGCAGCAAAGGAUAAGGAAAAAAACAAUAAUAAUAAUACUAAUGUAAAGAAGAAGAAGAAAAAUGCAUGUUUAUAUACAGUAGCUAUAAGAUAUUAUAAAAUAAAACCAACACAAGGAAGCCUCAAUGGGUCUAAAACAUUAAUUUCUAUAAUAAAAUGGGACUUGGGGAUAAAUUUGGGCUCCAAAAGCCACAAGAAAAAGAAAAUAAGAAGAGAAGGAAACGUUGUCAGGUAGUCACUGCACUACUGAAGACUCCUGUACUGUCUGGUGGAAAAGCGAGUGUAGCCCGAGAUAGAAAUCAGGACGAAUGUGUGAUGAUUGCAUUUGACCAGCCAGAGAGAAGCGGUCCAGUUUCUGUCUCCACUGUCACCUCCAUGGGGCUGUAGACACCCUUGUCCACGCUCUCCUGUCUGAUGGAUAAAACAAAACGAGUCUUCUUGAGUUAUAAUUUUUGCUAUCCAUAAAUGACUUAGAGCACAGAGCGCACUCUGAGCAUGUUACAUGGGUGUGAAGGUCUGCAGGAGACAGGAUUCACUAAUUGACUAUUCAGCCAUGAAUCAUUACAGGACAAGAGAAACAGAUGUGAGAAAUUAAACAAUAGGAUGAUAAACUAACUGUAGCUGCUUUUUUUUGCAAGAAAAUAGUCAAGUAAUCCUUCAGAACAGGUUCACAGGAACAUGAAAAUGGCAGGCUUGUUUGCUUAGCUUCAUCCAAAACCACGCAGUAACUCAUCAGCAAUGCGAAAACCCAUCAGAUGUCACUGUGGAUUAAUUCUGACAAACAGCCAAAACUGAAGAAACCAAGGGUUUUGACCAAAUUUGAGAUUUUACUGCCAAUAAUGCACUUUAUAUACAGGAUCUGUAUAAGACUGUGUAAACUGGAGCAGGCUGAAAGAACAACUUUUCAUACUUAUCUAAAGAAGUGAUGUCCUCUGUCGCCAUUUUCCACACUACACCCCAGACAUCUUCAUCUGGAUAUUCCUCAAUCGUGGCCACUCCACCAUUCCACCUGCUGCCCACAUUUUCUCCCCACAGACCAAACUGUAGCACAUAACCCUGAGAGAACAAGGAAGGGAGGAAGGAAGAAAGAUCCUAACAAUUACAAUAGGGUUCCAGUAUAUUCUGUGCUUGGACCCUAUACACUUUAAAAGGAGCACCUGAUCAUUUAUACAACUAGCCACUCAUGUGGUAGCAGAAUGCAUAAAGUCAUGCAGAUACAGGCCAAGAGCUUCAGUUAAGUUGAUCUCUGUGACUUUAACUGUGGCAUGGUUCUUGGUACCAGAUGGACUGGUUUGAGUAUUUCAGAAACUGUUGGUCUCCUGAAAUUUUUCAUAUACAAAGCACUGUGUAUUCACUCAUGUUUGCUAAUAUUGUAAACUAUAUUGUAUAUUUAACUUACAUGUUAUCUUUCUCAUUCUUUAUCAUUUUUAAAAUAUACUUGAGUAGUCUUUUUUAAUUCACAGGUUAAAAGGUUAUUAAUUCAGAAUGGCUCAGUUUUAGACUACAUUCAUCUAUUUAUUGUACUGCAUUUUGACAUGGUGUUAACCAAAUUCUGGGCCUGAAUUCUUUGGACACCGUGUAAAGAAAAUAAAACCAUACAACUGCAUUUCAACAAGAGUUUGUUUUUUUGAACCUCCAGGGGGCAGUAGUGUGCUAUUUGUGUACCAUUAUAACUGCUAGGUAGAUAUUGUUACAACUCAUGCAUUUAAAAUAUUAUUUAUAUGUAUAUUGAGCUUAUUCUAAUUCCACUAAAAGUAUGGAAUUUAACUAAUUAUAAGUAUAAAAGCAAAAGCUUUCAGUACCAGGACCACAAAGUCUAGGCUGCAGGCUGGACAGGUUGUGUCUCAGUAGAACUGUUCUAUGAAGGUUCUUUCUCACUAUUGGGUGUUAGUAUCAAUCUGGUGUUGAUUGAUUAAUAAAGGCACUUCUAUUUUUAGCUAACGCUUUAGC